GAUUCAAAUGUAAAAAAAAAUUGUUGAGCAGAAAAACUAUAGCAACUUACCAUAAUAAGCAUUCAAAUAUAUAUACGAAUCAAGCAGUACUAAUGAACAAAAUAAUUUAAAUUGCAGAUCGAAAAGAAUAAGGGCGUGUUUGGUUCAAAGUCGAAGUCGGAAUCGAAAUCGGAAUCAAAAUAAGCUGGAAUCGAAAUCGAAAUGACUCACUAUCUAAUUCUGUUUGGUUCAUCACCUGAAUCGAAAUCGGAAUAAAUCAUUCCCAUUGUCGGUGUUUAGUUCAGGUGGAUAUAAAAAAUGUAAUCAAAUUAAUAUACUAACAUUAUCUUUAUAAUAUAUUAAUUUAAAUUCAAAUAAAAAAUUAAAUAUUAAAAAUUUACAUCAAAAUUUUGAAAUAAUGUCAAAAUUUUAAAUUUAUUUUUUUUAAAAAAAUUAAACUUUGAAGUUGAGUGGAUAAUUCAAAAUAUGAAAUUAAAUUUUGAUU
rnacentral:lncRNA from 1 species